rnacentral:rRNA from 1 species
GUCUACAGCCAUGCUACCCUGAACAAGCCCGAUCCCAUCUGAUCUCGGAACCUAAGCAGGGUCGGAACUGGUUAGUACUUGGAUGGGAGACCACCUAGGAAAACCAGGUGCUGUAGGCG